GACAUAGAGGUAGUAGGGAACGCGAAAGCGGACCGACCUUCGGGGAGCCUCUACAGGUGUUGCAUGGCUGUCGUCAGCUCGUGUCGUGAGAUGUUCGGUUAAGUCCGCUAACGAGCGCAACCCUCGCUGUGUGUUACAAGUGUCACACGGUACUGCCGAUAUUAAGUCGGAGGAAGGUGGGGAUGACGUCAAGUCAGCAUGACCUUUAUAUCCAGGGCUACACACACGCUACAAUGGCCAGUACAAUGGGUUGCCAAGCCGCGAGGCGGAGCCAAUCCUAAAAAGCUGGCCUCAGUUCAGAUUGCAGUCUGCAACUCGACUGCAUGAAGUUGGAGUUGCUAGUAACCGCAGGUCAGCAAUACUGCGGUGAAUACGGUUCCCGGGGAUU
rnacentral:rRNA from 1 species